GUGAGGAAUAUUGGUCAAUGGGCGAGAGCCUGAACCAGCCAUGUCGCGUGAAGGAUGAAGGUCCUAUGGAUUGUAAACUUCUUUUGCAGGAGGGUAAAGUGAGCUACGUGUAGUUCAUUGCAAGUACCCUGCGAAUAAGCAUCGGCUAACUCCGUGCCAGCAGCCGCGGUAAUACGGAGGAUGCGAGCGUUAUCCGGAUGUAUUGGGUUUAAAGGGUGCGUAGGCGGACUAAUUAGUCAGCGGUGAAAUUUUGCGGCUCAACCGUAAAACUGCCGUUGAAACUGUUAGUCUUGAGUGCGGUAGAGGUAGGCGGAAUGUGUGGUGUAGCGGUGAAAUGCUUAGAUAUCACACAGAACACCGAUUGCGUAGGCAGCUUACUGGAGCGCAACUGACGCUGAGGCACGAAAGCGUGGGGAUCGAACAGGAUUAGAUACCCUUGUAGUCC
rnacentral:rRNA from 1 species